GACAAAGAAAUCUAGACAGAAAAAUUUCCUAAAUAGGACAAGAUGGUUGCAUGGCAAUGCUCUAAAAUGCAGCAUGCAAUAGAUUGCCAGAACGCAGGAAAUCAUAAUUUGAGAAUACCACAUAAAAGCCAAAGUACUUCUUUAUUCCACGUGUGCACAUGAAAGAGCUGCUUAUUUUGAGGAUUUAAGUUAAUAACUUAUCCUGCCCAAGAAGAUUAGCACGUGGCCAUAAAAAACCUGCUUGCUGUCAGCUUUCACCCCAACAUGGUCACAGAAAUAUUCCAGCUAGCCCAAGCUCUAUUACUCCAGCAUAGCAGCAUCCCUUCUCAUUUUGUGUGGCUACUGUUGCUCCAACUUUGCUCCAAGAUCUCCUACAUAUUUUUCAACUAUUAAAUGAUGCAUCUGACUUGGCUGCAUUGUUGUGGAAUAUCCAAGUAACCUUACUGUGUUCAAAUCCUAAACAGUGCCACAUCCU